GAUGAACGCUGGCGGCGUGCCUAAUACAUGCAAGUCGAGCGAACAGACGAGGAGCUUGCUCCUCUGACGUUAGCGGCGGACGGGUGAGUAACACGUGGAUAACCUACCUAUAAGACUGGUAUAACUUCGGGAAACCGGAGCUAAUACCGGAUAAUAUAUUGAACCGCAUGGUUCAAUAGUGAAAGACGGUUUUGCUGUCACUUAUAGAUGGAUCCGCGCCGCAUUAGCUAGUUGGUAAGGUAACGGCUUACCAAGGCAACGAUGCGUAGCCGACCUGAGAGGGUGAUCGGCCACACUGGAACUGAGACGCGGUCCAGACUCCUACGGGAGGCAGCAGUAGGGAAUCUUCCGCAAUGGGCGAAAGCCUGACGGAGCAACGCCGCGUGAGUGAUGAAGGUCUUCGGAUCGUAAAACUCUGUUAUUAGGGAAGAACAAAUGUGUAAGUAACUAUGCACGUCUUGACGGUACCUAAUCAGAAAGCCACGGCUAACUACGUG
rnacentral:rRNA from 1 species